rnacentral:rRNA from 1 species
UACGGAGGGUGCGAGCGUUGUCCGGAAUCAUUGGGCGUAAAGGGCGCGUAGGUGGCGGCUUAAGCGUGCGGUGAAAGCUCGGGGCUCAACCCCGAGUCGGCCGUGCGAACUGAGUCGCUUGAGCACUGUAGAGGCAGGCGGAAUUCCGGGUGUAGCGGUGGAAUGCGUAGAGAUCCGGAAGAACACCGGUGGCGAAGGCGGCCUGCUGGGCAGUAGCUGACACUGAGGCGCGACAGCGUGGGGAGCAAACAGGAUUAGAACCUCGUAGUCG